rnacentral:rRNA from 1 species
CUUUCCCUCUGGCUUCAGGCCUAACACAUGCAAGUCGAGCGGAUGAAGGGAGCUUGCUCCUGGAUUCAGCGGCGGACGGGUGAGUAAUGCCUAGGAAUCUGCCUGGUAGUGGGGGAUAACGUCCGGAAACGGGCGCUAAUACCGCAUACGUCCUGAGGGAGAAAGUGGGGGAUCUUCGGACCUCACGCUAUCAGAUGAGCCUAGGUCGGAUUAGCUAGUUGGUGGGGUAAAGGCCUACCAAGGCGACGAUCCGUAACUGGUCUGAGAGGAUGAUCAGUCACACUGGAACUGAGGCACGGUCCAGACUCCUACGGGAGGCAGCAGUGGGGAAUAUUGGACAAUGGGCGAAAGCCUGAUCCAGCCAUGCCGCGUGUGUGAAGAAGGUCUUCGGAUUGUAAAGCACUUUAAGUUGGGAGGAAGGGCAGUAAGUUAAUACCUUGCUGUUUUGACGUUACCAACAGAAUAAGCACCGGCUAACUUCGUG